rnacentral:tRNA from 1 species
AGAAAAGUAAGCUAUAUAAGCUUUUAGGUUCAUACCCUAACGAUAAACUAAAAUUUCUUUUCUU